rnacentral:rRNA from 1 species
GACGAACGCUGGCGGCGUGCUUAACACAUGCAAGUCGAACGGAAAGGCCCUGCUUUUGUGGGGUGCUCGAGUGGCGAACGGGUGAGUAACACGUGAGUAACCUGCCCUUGACUUUGGGAUAACUUCAGGAAACUGGGGCUAAUACCGGAUAGGAGCUCCUGCUGCAUGGUGGGGGUUGGAAAGUUUCGGCGGUUGGGGAUGGACUCGCGGCUUAUCAGCUUGUUGGUGGGGUAGUGGCUUACCAAGGCUUUGACGGGUAGCCGGCCUGAGAGGGUGACCGGCCACAUUGGGACUGAGAUACGGCCCAGACUCCUACGGGAGGCAGCAGUGGGGAAUAUUGCACAAUGGGCGGAAGCCUGAUGCAGCAACGCCGCGCGCGGGAUGACGGCCUUCGGGUUGUAAACCGCUUUCGCCUGUGAGGAAGCGUGAGUGACGGUAAUGGGUAAAGAAGCACCGGCUAACUACGUG